GUUUCCGUAGUGAACCUGCGGAAGGAUCAUUG
rnacentral:rRNA from 3 species